AUGAAUACUCCAAAUGUUUCUGACUCCGGCAACGGAAACAUGUGGAAUAUAGGCAACGAUUUUGGCUGCAAAAGAACAGAAAUGUAUGAUACACCUGAUAUUUCUGGCUUCACUCAAGGAGCAAUGUGGAGUACCUACAACAUUUCUGGCUCCAGAGGAAUAGAAUCACAGCACGCACACAAUGUUUCUGGCAACAGAGGAACAGAAGUAUUGGAAGGUCAGCUUGAGGACACUGAUUCCAGCAAGAUGACUGCACAAAGCAGCAGACAUACAUCUGACACCUCACAGAAGCCAUCAGCCUAUGGAGACCAGACUUCCAACAUGAAGGAAAUGCCUGAAAUAAUGGACGAGUUCAUCAAUAAAUACAAAAAGGAAAUGUUGCAAAUGAUGGAAGAGGUGAACAAUAAACAAAAAGAAGAAAUAUUUGAAAUGAUGAAAGAAAUGGACAAGAAGAACACAAAGGAAAGAGAUGAAUUUCUGCAAGCAAUGGACAACAAAAUAAUAUGGAUGCGCGAUGAGAACAGAAAUGCCUUUGAAACUAUUUAUAGUCACCUUCUGAAUAGUCACAACAGAGCACUUCCUGGAAGGGCAAUCCAAAUACAGCCUGAGGAGAAAGAGGAAAAUAAGAUGCUGAAAGAGAAGAUCAAAAAGCUAGAGGCAAGAAUCCAAGAGCUCUUGGCUAAAGCAAUAGUCAUGCACCAACACUCUGAGGACAUCAAUGACCCUUCACGUUUGUCUGCUGUGCUGGAUAGAUAUGAGCUGCUCAGGCUACGGGAAUGGGAAAAAGUCAAGAGCUCCAUGCCCCACCGUUGGACAUAUAAAGAAGGCAGCCGUGCCAUUAAGAAGCUGUUUGAUGCCUGUGAGAAAGACAUACAACAGAGAACAGAUGCCAUAAUUAAAGGUUUUGACAUUCCACUUGGGAAUAAUACUUUGACCAAGGUGAUGAUGCAAGACAUAAUGAAGCUGCUCAGGCAACAUUAUCGCGAAAAUUCAGCACUUUACAAGAUUGUUCAAGAAGCUGCCAUUCACAUAGGAAGUGGAAAUGAAACACAGUUCUUGCUGCAGUGCUGCCAAAUUUAUUGUUUGCUGUUUCUUCAGGACCCACCAGUUAAAGCAGACUGGAAGAUGGACAUACAGUAUUUAGAGCACGUGGACAAGAAAGAUGCUGCGUAUUGGAAAAAACCAUCACUUCUGUGGCCCAUAAUGAAAUGUGGGGAACAAAUUCUUGUGAGAGGUGUAGUCUGGGAUUAAGGGAGAAUGACUUGACAGUCAGGCUAAUUACUUGCUUUGACAUAAGAAGAUGAAACUUUUGCUGUGCAAUACUCAGCUUUUCUUUCUCUCAUGAAUUGCUUGCUUUUCAGAGCUAGUAAGUUAGACAUCCCCCAUAUGGGACACUUAGGAUAAAUCAUCAUUAACAAACCUGUAUUAAAAAUUGAAGCUAUUCCAAUUGUCUCCUCACCACUCCUCACCAGUGCCACCUGCCUGUUACCACUCAGCUGCUUUCCCACAUCUGUGCAAUUUACCUCUCCCAAAGUCCUUCAGCUACAUGUGUGCCACAGCUCUGGGCCAAAGAGCUCUAAAAGUUGUAUUCCAUGGCAUAAGACGGAUGCAGUGAGGCAAGUGCAUGUUUAUGUGAUUUUGUGUGACACGGUAUUCUGUAAGCAACUUGAGAAUGACCAAAUAAAAAGAGAUUUUAAAUUCUACUGUGUGCCUGC
rnacentral:lncRNA from 1 species